AUUGAACGCUGGCGGCAGGCCUAACACAUGCAAGUCGAGCGGAUGAAGGGAGCUUGCUCCUGGAUUCAGCGGCGGACGGGUGAGUAAUGCCUAGGAAUCUGCCUGGUAGUGGGGGAUAACGUCCGGAAACGGGCGCUAAUACCGCAUACGUCCUGAGGGAGAAAGUGGGGGAUCUUCGGACCUCACGCUAUCAGAUGAGCCUAGGUCGGAUUAGCUAGUUGGUGGGGUAAAGGCCUACCAAGGCGACGAUCCGUAACUGGUCUGAGAGGAUGAUCAGUCACACUGGAACUGAGACACGGUCCAGACUCCUACGGGAGGCAGCAGUGGGGAAUAUUGGACAAUGGGCGAAAGCCUGAUCCAGCCAUGCCGAAUGUGUGAAGAAGGUCUUCGGAUUGUAAAGCACUUUAAGUUGGGAGGAAGGGCAGUAAGUUAAUACCUUGCUGUUUUGACGUUACCAACAGAAUAAGCACCGGCUAACUUCGUG
rnacentral:rRNA from 1 species